AGCAUGUUUCGUGAGAACAUAAUAAACUGACAGAUUAUAUGACCAAAGCCGUUCCCAGUGCUGUUAACAUGUUAUUAACUUUUGAAAAAUCACUUAAUUAUAUUUGAUUUUUUUUAGUAAAUGACUGAUAUUUAUUGAUCAUCACGUGCCUCAAAGUGAUUGAAAUUAUAGGUAAAAAGUAAUAACGAUAAAGCAAAGAAAACAAUAAAAGAAAACUAGGAAAAGACAAAACAGUAGAAACCCAACGGACAAAACAAGAACUGCCCCUAGAAAACAAAACCAUUAAUGGAAAACAACAGAAACCCCUUAAACCAUGAGACGAAUCAAAUAACCCUUCAAAAUAUCAGUCGAAACAGCUUCCACGUCCGCAUAAUAGAGAUAACAAUCACAGAGGGGAACCCAAAAGCUUUGAGUCCAUCCAUGGAGAUUCAAAGAACCUUCUCCAUAUUCAAAUCAAAGUAAACCAGACUUAAAAUUGCUGAGUCAAAAUCUCUGUUUUUUCUCCAUCAAUUGUUUGACAGAGCUUGAAACUUCAUUCCCCCAGAAUCCAGAAAACCGACUUCUCCGUCCUUCCAUGGCCAAAGUGUGGGCCAUGCCAUUAGCCAAGCGAUGAACAAAAAGGUAAUCUAUUUCAUCAAAACAAUUUUCCAGUUUAUUAAUCUGAUGAACGAUAGAUCUAAUGAGAGAUCUGUCUUCUACCCUUGUCAUCAUUUUCUUUAUAACCGUCAAGGAGUCACCUUCCACCAACACCCGAUGGAAGCCCAUAUGGAUAGCAAAAAGCACCGCUAGCUCGUACGCCCUUGCUUCAGCCACGAACGCAUCAGCCACAUCAUUAAACAGAUAAGUCUCUGCCCUAAUAUAUUCUCCUCUAUGAUUUCUAGCAAUUAUUGCUGAAAUAGAAGUUCUUACCUCACUUUGAAAAGAUGCAUUGAAAUUUAAUUUGAUAAUACCUAACCCCGGAGGGAUCUAGCACUUUCCUAAUAGUGGCGAGUAAAUAACUCUCAACUUUUCUUGACAUUGAACUAGCUCUUGUUGAUAGCCACGAAUGAAACCUAAGAUAUCCUGCAAAGAGAAAUUAAUACCUUCAUGAAUUAACUUGUUUCUUCUGAACCAUAGAGCCUAAAUAGAAAUAGAAAUAAACUGUUUGCUUUGCUUAUCAGCCAAAUAGAAAGUAUUAACAAAGAGAUCUUUGUAGCUCAAGCUACUAUCAGGAAGAGCAGUUCGAAUAUGGAGAGACGCCAUACUGAACGAAGAACAUCACAUGACCACAAUAGAUGAUCCAUAUCCUCUAGAGCCCUCUUGCAAAGGGGAUAAAUCAAAUCAACCCGCAGAGAUCUGAUUGCCAGAUUACAAAAAUGGGGUAGAAAAUUAUUAAGGAGUCUCCACAAAUGUAUUUUAAUUUUGGCAGGAAUGUGAAUAGGCCAAAAAAUAUUGUAAAAAUCCUUGUAAACCUCCAUAUUAGGUUUAAUGUAAUUAUUUCUCUGUAAAAAAUCAAAAACAAGGACCCGAUGCCCACUUCUGACUGAGUAGUCCCCAGAACCUUCAAAUUUCCACACCAGGAUGUCCUCCGACCUAGAUCCAGAGAGUGGAAUAGAAAGAAUACGUUUCACUUGAUCAUCAUAAAAAAUAAUAAAGAUCAACUCAUUAUUCCAGGUAUUAGAAACAUUAUCCAUCAGAUGGCUAACAGUCGUAUAUUAUGGAUGAAUUUGUUGAACUGACACUCUAUUUUCCUCUCUACCAGGAAGCCACAGGUCAUUCCAAAUAUUAAUGCAAGAUCCAUUACCAACCCGCCACAAAAUUCCAUCAGCAAUUAAUUCUCGAGCACUGCAGAUGCUCUUCCAGGUAAAAGAGGGGUAAGAACCUACAUUGGCUGUUAAAAUAUCUAAAUUAGGAUAGUAGCGGGCUUUAAGAACUUUGGCUAAUAGACUAGUGGGCUGGGAUAAAAGACGCCAAACUUGUUUUGCUAAUAAUGCCUUAUUAAACAAUAACAGAUUUUUAAAACCCAGCCCACCCAUACUUUUCGGUUUACAAAGUCCAUCCCAAUUGCUCCAAUGGAUACCUUUGGCUGACUUAUUAUUAGAUCACCAAAAUUUAUUCAUGACGCCUUCGAGCUUGUGACAUAAAGAUUUAGGCAAAGCGAAACAUUGCAUAACAUAAAUCAGGAUCGACUGUAAAACAUAUUUCACAAAAACUUCAUUGCCCCCUAUCGAUAAGAAACGUAAAUUCCAUCCCGCAAUACAUCUCCUAAAACGGUCUAAAAAAUUUGGAAAGGCCCAAUUCUUCUUUCUCCCCUCCAUCAUAGGUAAGCCAAGAUACUUCUCAAAAUUCGAAGCAACCUUCACACCCAAUGUAUUAGUAAUGGAGUCCUUAGUGUGAGUAUCAACAUUAGCCCCGAAAUAAAUCAAAGACUUUUCGAAAUUCACUCUUUGGCCCGAGACAUCCUCAUACUCUUUUAUAACCUCUCUAACCACCAUAGCUCCCUCAAUAGAGGUAUCCUCAAAUAGAAUGCAAUCAUCCGCAAAGAACAAGUGAUUAAUCGCAAAUCUACCCCUGUCAAUAGUUGCGCCUUUCAUAAGGCCUUUUUGCUUUACUUCAGAGAUAAGAGUAGAAAACCUCCUGCACAAAUAAGAAGAAGGUACGGGCUAAUAAGAGGAUCGCCCUGCCUUAACCCUCUGGACGGUAAGAACCGUUCACCAUUCAUCCCAUUAAAACACACCGAAUAGGAAACGGAACAGACACACCUCAUAAUAAGAAUUAUCCAAUCCUCAUGAAAACCCAUAUGAGUCAUCAUACCAGCCAAAAAAUCUCAUUCAACACGAUCAUACGCUUUACUCAUAUCGAGUUUAAGUGCAAAAUUCCCAUGUUUCCUUUUUUUCUUCAUCUUUAAAGAAUGAAGAAAUUUGUAAGCAAUUAACACAUUAUCGAAAUAAGUCUUUCUAGGAUAAAAGCCCCUUGGGCUUUAUUGAUGCAACAACCCAACAUGGAACUCAUACGAAUAACCAAAACUUUUGCGAUAAUCUUGUAAAUUACAUUACAAAGACUAAUGGGCCUAAAAUGUGAAAGAUUUUUUGCAUUUUCAGCUUUGGGAAUCAACACAAUACGUGUUUUGUUGAUAACUUCUAACUCUGAAUGACCGUGCAAAACAUCAAGACAAUACUUAGAAAUUUCAGCUUAAAAAAUGUGCCAGUAAUUUUGAAAAAACAUUACCGAAAAACUAUCAGUCUUCGGAGCUUUCAACGGGGCCAUUGAUUUAACAGCAUUGAAAAUGUCUUCCUCUGUGAAUUGCUUAAGGAGGGAUGCAUUCAUGUCAUCAGUAAUCCUCUUUUCCACUUGCCCGAAAAUACUCUCAUCGGCACUCGAAUCUAAAGCCGAGAACAGCUGACCAAAAAAAUCCGUUACUAACUUAAGCAUAUCCUCAUUCGUAGAAAUUUUCUCACCGUGCUCUCCUUCUAACUCCUUGAUUUUGCCCCGUAGCUUCCGUUGGACAGCUACUUUAUGAAAAAAAUUGGUAUUUCUGUCCCCAUCCUUCAACCCAUUGACCCGAGCACGUUGUUCCCAGUAGAGUUCUUUCUGAUCAGCCUCUAGAUUCAGCCUCAAUUGAAUAUCAACAAUUUCAACCAAGAUGUCAUCUGAAGGGUCCUGAUUAUAAAGAUAACUAAGCUUCUCAUCAAUCUCCCUUUGGUGUAACGUAUUUUCUCUAGCUUUGACUUUACUCCACCUUUGAAGCUGUAAGCCCAAGUAUUCAAGUUUUCCAGGAAUAUUACUAGAAAAUUCAUUCCAAUGUCUACUUAGAACACCCUUAAAAGAACUAUCCAAACACCAUUUCGCCUCAAAAUGGAAAAUAUUCUCUUUAUAACACGAAGGAUUCCUUUGCUCUCCCCUUGUAUCCAAAAGAAUGGGAGAGUGAUCAGAAAAGGAAUGACUCAGAUACUGAACCUGAUAAUUAGGAUAUAGAUUAACCUAAUUACACGUUGCCACUCCUCGGCCCAACCUUUCCCGAAUAUUCGUUGACGCAAAUCUUCCCCGUCCCCAAGUAAACUAACGGCCAAUAAAACUAAGAUCAUUGAGAUCACACUUUUCCAAAACCAUUCGAAACUCACCCAUUUGACGUUCAGCUCUCAACCGACCACUCAUUUUUUCAAAAGAGUAUGUAAUCUCAUUAAAAUCACCUAGUACGACCCAAUGAAGCGUUUGUUCCUACCUUAAUCUUCUAAGCAGGUUCCAAGAUUCACUGCAACUCCUCUCAUCUGGAUUCCCGUAAAAUCCCGUAAAACGCCAAGAAAUAUCACACUCUGAUCAUGAAUCUCAACAUUGAUAUGGAAAGAGGAAAAGCUUUUUAAGUUGGACCAAAAAAUUCCCUUUCCAGCCCAAAGAAAUACCACCUACUCGACGUUAAUUUUAUUUUCAAAACCACAUUUCUGUUUCACCAUUUCCAUCCAUUUCACACUAAGUUUUGUUUUGAUAAGAAACAAAAUGCGGGGAUUGAUGGCUCUCAAUUUGUUUCUGAGCCUCUUGAUGGUUCGUGGACUCCCCAAUCCACGAACAUUAAAACUAAGGAUUUUCAUUGCGAUCGGCUGCUCUGGAUUCCAGAGCUAGUCGCUAAAACAAAAGAACUUGCCUCCCCAACAUUUCUCGCGUCAAUAAAGGAUUCUUCUACUUUUCUUUUUCUUUUCUUACCCUCUAUUAGUGUCACGGACUUAGAGUUUUCCCAAGCAAUCUGUGCGGCCUUAAGCAUUUAUCCGCUAAAAAACGCCUAAGUCAGCCUAUCUCGCAACAAAUGAGGAUUCAAUAGAACUCCUCUAAAGAACCCACGAAGAACAGCAUAAGAACGAAGUAAGAACAAUCUCAAAAGAUGAACAAAAGCCACAGAAAAGUAAGAACACUUGAGAGAAAAGUUUGAGUGAAUGCUCUCAAAAUUCUAUUAAUCACUGAAUGAAUACAAUAAGGGGGAGAGGCCUCUAUUUAUAGUUGAGCCUUCUUAAUAUCAACGGUACAAAUCGAAAUACAUCAAUGGCUAAUAUCUAAAGCUAUCAAGAUAUCAAAUCUCUAAGAUUACAGAAUUGUAUCUUCUAAAUAUUACAUUAAAGUCUAGGAUCACAUAUCUUUGAAGAUCCACUUCCAUAUUUGCCAAGCAUAUCUUUAAAGAUUACUUUCCAUAUUUGCCAAGCUCCGGAGAUGGGCUUUCAAUCUCUCCAAGCACUCAACCAGUCUGAUUGGGCCAAAUGACUUCCCUCAAAAGUAAUAAAUCACACAAGUCCGUCAUGGUUGCAAGUUUCCCUUCGCAACCCAUGACAUUCCCCUCCACUUGUUCUAGCGACGCCAUCAUCGCGUCCCCCUCAUGGAAUUGGGCUAUCUUCUAUUGAAAUUGCCACAAUGCCUCGGCAAGUUCCCAACUUGUUUCGCUGUCAGGUAGUCAUUUCCAUCGUACCAAGUAUUCAUGUCGUGGCCGAUGUGUAACGCCCCAAUUUUUGGAAUUCUGUGUGUGUUGGCAAAUUUUAAAUUUUGGUGUUCUGUCUGCUUGGCGUAGAUUUAAUCAGGUUAGUAGGUCUCUAGAAGGCCCAAGUUUAAGUUAAAAUCUGGUAAUUUUAGUUAAUUUUAAUUCUAUAGAAAAAAGGGGUUCUGGUUAGCUGGGCUUUAAGGUAUUAAUUGGGUAAAAUAAAAUACAAGGAAGCCCGUGGUAAGUUGGCUUGUGGCGUCACUUGGGGGCUUGAGAGGUGGCGUGUGGAUGACCAAGGAAAGCUAAGGUUCGAGUCUCAAAGUAAGCAAACUAGUGAUAUUAAUUUUUAUGUGCAGGAAAGGUAAGUAAUGGAACCUAAGUGAAAGACUGUUAGGAGGAGUUUAAAUUGCUCAAGGGAUUGAGUAAAGAGGGGAUAAGAGAGAGAAUUUAGGAGCCGAUUGGGGAGAGUAGUGAUGGCCGAAUAGUGGACUAUUGAGGAGCAAGAGUUGGCCGGCCAAGGGUUUCUUUUGGAGGGCAAAGUUUGGCUAGGUUAAGUGCUAGUAUAAAUUCGGCAUUAGGGGGAAAGUUGUGUCGUUUGCUGACCAUUCUCCUCUUCUUUCUUUUCUCCUAUUCUCUUCAACUUUUUCUUUUUCUUCUUUUUCUCCAUAGCCGAAUCUCUCUAAUCACCUAUGCAUCUCCAUCUUUUGCUUCAAACGUUUCUAAAACCUUCAUAGCCAUUGCCAUAAAAAGUCGAAAUCCCGAAACCCAUACUUUCUUCUAUAUCGAUUUCUCCUAGCCAAUUUUAUUAUCUUUUCCAUCAUUCUUGACCUAUUCUCUAGUUCUCUAAACCUCAAGGUUCUAUCGACAAGACCAUAGCAAAACCCUCCUAUUUUAUCUUUCUUUACACAGCUUCAACAAAAGCGGAAAACCCCACUCUCUUAGGGACUUGGCCGAAUAGUGAGAUCACUGAAGGCUCAACUUUUGUUAUCAUUUGAGGGCUUAGAUCGGUAUCAGAAUUGAGUAGAAAUUAAUUGGGAUCAUUAAUCGAAGGAACCGAUGGUAAGUCUUUUCAAUCUAGUCUUUAUUUCGUAUUUUAGAAAAACCGAAACCCCUAAAGGUUAGGGAGGCUGUCGACUUGGACUUGUAGCCCUAAGGGGUUAUGAUAAUUGUUUUGUCUUGAUAAUAAUAUGAUCUAGAGGCUGAUGAUCAAGGGCUUGGACAAGUGGAGCAACGGGAUCUAAGUCUAGUCACAAACUUCGGCAAAGGUAGGAUUGCUAGUGCCUAAGGUGUUAUGGCCGAAUAAGAUAAGGAGUUAUUAUGUAGUUCGUUUCGGUAGUAGAUUAACGUGGUAGUAAUAUAAUUGUAGGUAGUUCGAGUGUGGAUUUCUUCAAUGAAUCGUCAUAAAAUAGGUGUGUAACUAACACCCUUUCUUAGCCUAGAUCGGCAAAAGCCAAAAAUUCGAAAUGCCGAAAACUGGUAUUUUGUAAAUUUGCGAGUGUGCGAAUGCUCGUAAGGUAAAUCGAUUAAUGUUUUUGGUAAGCUGCAAUAUUGGACUGCAAAGUGCAUGAUUUCUGUGCCUUCGAUAUUUUUGGGCUUAUUCGACCAAAAUUAGAAUAAAGGGCCAACGAGCCCAAUGCGGUAAAAACCCUCGGUAAGUGUUUCUGUUAGUACGUGAACGGUAGGUGUAUGCAUAAAAAAUCCUAGAAUAGAUAAAUUACUGAAAUACCUUUAAAAGUAGAAAAUUUACAGUUUUACCCCUAGGAGAUAAAUUACCGAAAUACCCCUAGGGUUAAAUUGACCUAAAUGCAUGUUUGACUGUUGUUAUUUACUGCAUACCAUGUUGCUAUUAUCUGAUGCAUGGGACUGGAUAUUGAUGGAGGAAGUACUGAAAGUGGCCUGUCCACGUAUUGGAGGCUUUGCCUCAAUUUACUAUUAACUGAGUAGCAAGGCAGCAACUGUGGAGUGUAGGGCUGGGUGGGUUGAGUUAUUCCCCACAUGGAGUGUAGGGCUGGUACGGGUGGAGUGUAGCGGUUGGUGGGUUGAGUAGACUCCCCAAAUGGGCUUGCAUAUGUUUAUUAAUGUUGCAUGUAUUUUGAAAUGGGCUUAUGGGCCAUACUGUUAUCUAAAUAAGGGGCUAAGGCCCAGUUUAAUGUAAUCUGAAAAGGGCUCUGGCCCAGUACCACUGUUAUCUGAAUGGGCUUAGGCCCAAUGGGCUUGAGCUGACUUGGGCUUUGGAUGGGUUUCCUUACACACUGAGUUUCCAAACUCACCCCUUCUUUAACCUUGCAGGUGGGCCUUGAUGUGGGUGUCUUGGAGCCGGAGGGGAUUCAGAGUGGCCAUGGUGAACGCUUUUGGGUUUGAAAAGAGACUGGUUUUCUUAAGCUAUUUUUAAUUACUAUUUAACUUUUGGGUUGUAAUAAGGCCAUUUUAACUUUAUUUUCAUAUUUGAUUUUUUGGAAUUAUAUUAUUUUAAAUAACUUUAAAUUGAUGGAUAAUAAAUCAAAUGGGCUAGACUUAGGACGCGAUUUCAAAACGAUGCUUGUUUUAAAAUAAUACGACGUCACGAAUAUUUGAUUUACCAAAGAUAACCACUCAAAGAAGUUUCAAUUUGUUAUAACCAAUGUGGCAAUGGAUGUGGGCAUGUCUAGGAUUGGAUCCAAUCGAAGAGCUUAGUACUUAAGCAGCCUUCAUGGCUCACCUCCUCUGUUACGGAUACCUACCUAGUGCCCAACUUCCAUUCACUUGGUUAGCUUAACAAAAGUCGACUUUUAAAAUACGAAAAAGGGAACAUGAGUUUUUAACUUCAAUGUGGCGUGUCAGAUUCGGCCAUAACGUCUGGGCCAGGUUUGGGGUGCUACAUUUAGUGGUAUCAGAGCGUCAGGUUACAACAACUCGGCUGUAGAUCGGGUCUAAAAGGGGGUUUUCAAAACUUUAUGCCAAAAAGAGUAUUUUUGGAAAAACCUGACUUUUGAAAAUAAAUCUUCUGUUUAGAGGAGAUAAUCUCCGAACUUGUUUUUUUUUAAAUCAAAUGUUUGAAAAAUGGAUUUCAAAAAGCCUAAAUCUUUUGAGUUUAUCUGAAAACUGAUGAGACACUGAAUCCCCGGUACCAAGGCUGUAAGUACCUUUCUGUUUUACAUACUGAACUGUACUGUAGUUAUUACUAGACCUUAGAGAUAGUACUAUGGAUAAUGUAGCGUAAAGGCUACGAAACUGAGACUGUAGGGUAAACUAAGCCCUAGGAAACCGAGACAGUAGCUAAACUGUGGUUACGCGAGAAUAACUCUGAAACCUUAUCUGUUCAUAAGAUAUUCUGUAAUAAACAGUGGAAACAGUAAACUAACUGCAUAAAAUUUGUAAUCAGAUAAAUCGAUAUGAGUACGAGAGCUACUCGAGAAAGAGGCCGUGGUCGAGGCCGAGGUAGUACUCAAGCUGGAUCUUCGUCUUCUAAACACAUACCCACUGAGGUAGCACGAUCACCACCGGUGGAUGAGAACGGGCCGUAUGAUCGAGCCGCGGGGGAUGACGCUCUGUCUCAGGCCAUGUUAAGGGUUUUGGAAAGGGUGGCCGGAGCCAAUAUCGGGCCUAUGAAUAGGGGGUCCAUUUCUGAGCGAUUCCGGGCCAACGGAGCGGAAGUCUUUAGAGGUAUAUCUGGAGUAGCCCCAAAUGUGGCUGAGUACUGGCUGGAAGCCACGGAGCGAAUUAUGGAUGACCUGAACUGCACAGUAGAGCAAAAGUUAAAAGGGGCAGUGUCCUUGCUACGGGACGAGGCAUGUCCAUGGUGGAUCACUGUGAGAGAGGGUACCCCAGCUGAGAGGGUAACUUGGGAGUUGUUUAAGCAGUCUUUCAAGGCGAAGUAUGUCGGAGCUAGCUAUGUGGAUGCACGAAGAAAGGAAUUCCUGAACCUGACUCAGGGUGGUAAGACCAUUGCUAAAUAUGAGGCAGAGUUUCUGCGAUUGAGCCGGUAUGCUAGUGGUAUUGUCUCUACUGAAUUCGAGCGUAGUGUUCGCUUUGAGGAUGGCCUCAGGGAUGAGCUAAGGGUACUCGUAGCUCCGCAGAGAGAGCGCGAUUUUGCUGCACUAGUAGAAAAGGCUAAGAUAGCUGAAGAGGUGAAGCAAGCUGAACGAAAGAACUGCGAUAGGGAUCGAAACCGGUUUAGAAGAGAUGUUGGACCAACUGGUGCUGCAAACCGGAAUGUUAAGAGAGCUAGGAUGGAAGAACUAAUUCGAGCGGUUCCGGUGAAUACUGUUAGACCACAAGCUUGUGGAGAUUGUGGUAGAAUGCAUCUGGAGGAAUGUUGGAAACGUUCUGGGGCUUGUCUUCGUUGUGGAUCAGAGGAACAUAAGAUCAAGGAUUGCCCUAGGAGGCCAGCUCAGGCUCAUGUGGUUGAACAAAAGGCUGUGCAACCUGUCCAACCAGCACGAGGUGGACCGCCGCCGUCGAGAGGUCGUGGCCAAGGUCGCGGUGGCAAUGGCCAUGGACGUGGGGCACCUGGCAAGGGUACUGUUAACACUGAGGCUCGUCAGCCAGCUUUGGUAUAUGCUGCUCGUCGCCGCGAGGAGGGUGACGCACCUGAUGUCAUAAUUGGUACGUUUUUUUAUCUCUGACGUACCGUAUACUGCUCUGAUAGAUGUGGGGUCAACUCAUUCAUAUGUAGCAUGUGAUAUUUCUAGGGCAUUGGGUGUUCACUUUGAGGAGAUUGUGUGUGGGGUAACUGUGAUAAGUCCGUUAAGUCACUCAGUUGAAGUAGAGAAACUCUUUAGGGAGGUGCUUUUAGAGACUCAAUGUAGGAUUUUCUGUGGAGAUUUAAUGGAGUUACCGUUCGGAGAAUUCAAUUUGAUUUUAGGGAUGGAUUGGCUGACCAGGCAUAGGGCAACAGUGGAUUGUGCAGCUAAGAGGAUGGUGUUAAGAACUAUUAAGGAUAAGGAGGUAAUGAUUAUUGGGGAGCGAAGAGAUUACUUGUCCAAUGUGGUAUCAGCUUUAAGGGCUGAGAAACUGAUGCGUAAGGGAUGCGAGGCGUACUUGGCUUUUGUAAAUCAAGUUGAAACUGGGGAUCUGACUGUGGAUACCGUCAGGACUAUUAGGGAAUUCUGAGAUAUUUUCCCAGAGGAGCUUCCUGGAUUGCCUCCAAAUCGGAAAGUGGAGUUUGGAAUCGAUUUGUUGCCUGGAAUAGCUCCAGUAUCCAUUGCACCCUAUAGAAUGGCACCGAAGGAGUUAGUGGAACUGAAAGCUCAAAUCUAAGAGUUGUUAGAUAGAGGCUUCAUUAGACCUAGUGUGUCUCCAUAGGGAGCACCGGUCCUGUUUGUGAAGAAAAAGGACGGGACAAUGCGCAUGUGCAUCGAUUACCACCAGUUGAACAAACUGACGAUAAAGAACAAAUACCCACUGCCAAGGAUUGAUGAUUUAUUCGACCAACUUAGAGGAGCUUUGGUAUUUUCCAAGAUUGACCUUCGAUCUGGAUACCAUCAGUUAAGGGUAAAGGAAGUGGAUAUUUAUAAGACAGUAUUCAGGACUCGAUAUAGUCAUUACGAGUUCCUGGUUAUGCCGUUUGGGUUGACGAAUGCACCUGUCGCUUUCAUGGAUCUGAUGAAUCGAGUGUUCCAACCUUAUUUAGACCGAUUCGUGGUAGUUUUCAUCGAUGAUAUUCUGGUAUACUCAGAAAUCGAGGAGAAACAUGAGGAGCAUCUACAUAUUGUGCUGCAAGUGCUGAGAGAGAAGUAACUGUAUGCAAAGUUUAGUAAGUGUGAAUUUUGGUUGCGAGAAGUGGCUUUUCUAGGUCAUGUGGUUUCUGCUGAAGGAAUUAGAGUGGAUCUUUGAAAAGUUGAGGCAGUUCUGGGAUGGAAGCCACCAAAAUCAGUAUCGAAAAUCUGGAGUUUUCUGGGUUUGGCAGGCUAUUACCGAAGGUUCAUAGAAGGAUUUUCUCUGAUUGCUGCACCAUUGACGAAACUGUUAAGGAAAGGGGUAACAUUUGUUUGGACUGAGAAUCAGCAAAAAGCUUUUGACCAUUUGAAAAAGGUAUUGGCUGAAGCACCAGUGUCGAUUCAACCGGAGUUUGGGAAGGACUUCACUGUGUACAGUGAUGCGUCGCAUGUGGGGUUAGGAUGUGUACUGAUGUAAGAGGGUAAGGUGGUCGCUUAUGCUUCGCAACAGCUUAAACCUCAUGAAGCGAACUACCUUACGCACGAUUUAGAGCUAGCAGCAGUGAUCUUCGCAUUGAAAAUCUGGAGACAUUACAUAUAUGGAGAAAAAUGUAUCAUAUACACAGACCAUAAUAGCCUUAAGUAUCUGUUAACUCAGAAGGAGUUAAACCUUAGGCAACGAAGAUGGGUAGAGUUGCUUAAGGAUUACGACUGUUUGAUUGAGUACCACCCAGGUAAGGCUAACGUGGUGGCUGAUGCGUUGAGUCGAAGGGUUGUUUCUGAUUUGAGAGCCUUGUUUGCACGUUUGAGUCUGUUUGACAAUGGAAGUCUGUUAGCAGAAUUGCAAGUGAGGCCUACUUAGACUGAGCAGAUUAAAGAAAAAUAGUUGAAGGAUGAUUCGUUGGUUCUUCGGUUUCAGCAAGUUGAGAAGGGUGAGAAUAAAAAUUUUUAGACUGAAUACUGAAGGAGUUUUAUACUUCCGAUGAAGAAUUUGUGUUUCAAAGGACUCUGACUUGAGACAGUCAAUAUUGAAGGAAGCUCAUGGGAGACUUUGUGCCAUGCAUCCUGGAGGGAAUAAGUUGUAUCAUAACUUGCGAGAACUGUACUGGUGGCCUGGGCUUAAAUGAGAAGUAACGGAAUUCGUGGGGAAAUGUCUGACAUGCCAGCAAGUAAAAGCUGAGCAUCAAUUUCCUUCUGGAUUACUGCAACAGGUGAAAAUUCCAUUGUGGUAGUGGGAGAGAGUCACUAUGGACUUUGUGAGUGGGCUACCUUUGACACCCACCAAGAAAGAUUCUGUGUGGGUAGUGGUGGCUAGGUUAACAAAAUCUGCCCAUUUCCUACCAGUUCGUAUUGAUUACUCCCUGCAAAAGUUAGCUAGGUUGUAUGUGGCAGAGAUAGUGCGACUACAUGGAGUGCCAGUGUCGAUUAUUUCCGACCGAGACCCUAGGUUAACAUCUCAGUUCUGGAAGAAGUUGUAGGAGGCAUUGGGUACCCGCUUGGAUUUCAAUAUUGCCUUUCACCCACAGAUAGAUGGACAGUCGGAGGGGGUUAUUCAGAUUUUGGAGGAUAUGUUAAGGGGUUGUAUCAUCGAUUUUCGUGGGAGUUGGAAGGACUAUUUGCCAUUGGCGGAGUUUGUAUACAAUAACAGCUACUAAGCAAGUAUUCAGAAGGCUCCAUAUGAGGUACUUUAUGGGCGGAGAAGUCGUACGCCUACAUGUUGGACAGAGUUGGGUGAACGAUAAGUGCUUGGACCGGAGUUGGUGGUAGAUACCGAGAGUAAGGUUAAGUUGAUAAGAGAUCGAUUAAAGGAGGCAUCUGAUAGAUAGAAAUCGUAUGUGGAUCUAAAGUGCAAAGAUAUAGAGUUCGCUGUUGGGGAUAUGGUUUUCUUAAAGGUUUCACCUUGAAAGAAGAUUUUGAGAUUCGGCAAGAAAGGCAAAUUGAGUCCACGAUUUAUAGAGCCUUAUCGGGUUCUUAAGCGGGUAGGGCCAGUAGCGUAUCAGUUAGUGUUACCACCAGAGUUGGACAGAAUCCAUGACAUCUUUCAUGUGUCUAUGUUAAGACGAUAUCGAUCGGAUCCCUCGCAUGUUGUACCAGUGGAGGAGAUUGAAGUAAGGACUGAUUUGACCUUUGAGGAAGAACCCAUACAAAUUUUAGAUCGAGAAGUUAAAGUUCUCAGAAGGAAGUCGGUUCCGUUGGUAAAAGUACUGUGGCGUAAUCAUGGAAGGGAAGAAGCUACUUGGGAAUCAGAAGAGACUAUGCGUCAACAAUACCCUCAACUAUUUGGAUCAGAUAAAUUUUGAGGCUGAAAUUUUUUUUAAGGGGGGUAGAGUUGUAACGCCCCAAUUUUCGAGAACUCUGUGAGUGUUGGCAAAUUUUAAAUUUUGGUGUUCUGUCUGCUUAGCGUAGAUUUAAUCAGAUUAGUGGGUCUCUAGAAGGCCCAAGUUUAAGUUAAAAUCUGGUAAUUUUAGUUAAUUUUAAUUCUAUAGAAAAAGGGGUUCUGGUUAGCUGGGCUUUAAAGUAUUAAUUGGGUAAAAUAAAACACAAGGAAGCCCGUAGUAAGUUGGCUUGUGGCAUCAUUUGGGGGCUUAAGAGGUGGCGUGUGGAUGACCAAGGAAAGCUAAGGUUCGAGUCGCAAGGUAAGCAAACUAGUGAUAUUAAUUUUUAUGUGCAGAAAAGGAAAGUAAUGGAACCUAAGUGAAAGACUGUCAAGAGGAGUUUAAAUUGCUCAAGGGAUUGAGUAAGGAGGGGAUAAUGGAGAGGAUUUAGGAGCUGAUUGGGGAGAGUAGUGAUGGCCGAAUAGUGGACUCUUGAGGAGCAGGAGUUGGCCGGCCAAGGGUUUCUUUUGGGGGGCAAAAUUCGGCUAGGUUAAGUGCUAGUAUAAAUUCGGCAUUAGGGGGAAAGUUGUGCCGUUUGCUGACCAUUCUCCUCUUCUCUUCAACUUUUUCUUUUUUUUCUUUUCCUCCAUAGCUGAAUCUCUCUAACCACCUGUACAUCUCCAUCUUUUUCUUCAAACGUUUCUAAAACCUUCAUAGCCAUUGCCAUAAAAAGCCGAAAUCCCGAAACCCAUACUUUCUUCUGUGCUGAUUUCUCUUAGCCAAUUUUAUUAUCUUUUCCAUCAUUCUUGACCAAUUCUCUAGUUCUCUAAACCUCAAGGUUCUAUCAACAAGACCAUAGCAAAACCUUCCUAUUUCAUCUUUCUUUACACAGCUUCAACAAAAGCCGAAAACCCCUCUUAGGGACUUGGCCGAAUAGUGAGAUCACUGAAGGCUCGACUUUUGUUAUCAUUUGAGGGCUUAGAUCGGCAUCAGAAUUGAGUAGAAAUUAAUUAGGUUCAUUGACCGAAGGAAUCGGUGGUAAGUCUUUUCAAUCUAGUCUUUAUUUCGUAUUUUAGAAAAAUCGAAACCCCUAAAGGUUAGGGAGGCUGUCGACUUGGACUUGUAGCCCUAAGGGGUUGUGAUAACUGUUUUGUCUUGAUAAUAAUAUGAUCUAGAGGCUACUGAUCAAGGGCUUGGACAAGUGGAGCAACAGGAUCUAAGUCUAGUCGCAAACUUCGGCAAAGGUAGGAUUGCUAGUGCCUAAGGUGUUAUGGCCGAAUAAGGUAAGGAGUUAUUCUGUAGUUCGUUUUGGUAGUAGAUUAACGUGGUAGUAAUAUAAUUGUAGGUAGUUUGAGCGUGGAUCUCGUCAACGAAUCAUCAUAAAACAAGUGUGUAACUGACAUCCUUUCUUAGUCUACAUCAGCAAAAGCCGAAAAGCCGAAAAGCUGAAAUGCCAAAAACCGGUAUUUUGUAGAUUUGUGAGUGUGCGAAUGCUCGUGAGGUAAAUCGAUUAAUGUUUUUGGUAAGCUGUAAUGUUGGACUACAAAGUGCAUGAUUUCUGUGCCCUCGAUAUUUUUGGGAUUAUGGGCCAAAAUUGGAAUAAAGGGCCAACGAGCCCAAUUCGGUAAGAACCCUCGGUAAGUGUUUCUGUUUGUACGUGAAAGGUAGGUGUAUGCAUGAAAAAUCCUAGAAUAGAUAAAUUACUGAAAUACCUUUAAAAGUAGAAAAUUUACAGUUUUGCCCCCAGGAGAUAAAUUACCGAAAUACCUCUAGGGUUAAAUUGACCUAAAUGCAUGUUUGACUGUUGUUAUUUACUGCAUACCAUGUUGUUAUCAUCUGAUGCAUGGGACUAGGAUAUUGAUGGAGGAAGAACUGAAAGUGGCCUAUUCAUGUACUGGAGGCUUUGCCUCAAUUUAGUGUUAACUGAGCAACAAGGCUGCAACUGUGGAGUGUAGGGCUGGGUGGGUUGAGCUAUUCCCCACAUGGAGUGUAGGGCUGGUACAGGUGGAGUGUAGCGGUUGGUGGGUUGAGUAGACUCCCCAAAUGGGCUUGCAUAUGUUUAUUGAUGUUGCAUGUAUUUUGAAAUAGGCCUAUGGGCCAUACUGUAAUCUAAAUAAGGGGCUAAGGCCCAGUUUAAUGUAAUCUGAAAAGGGCUCUGGCCCAGUACCACUGUUAUCUAAAUGGGCUUCGGCCUAAUGGGCUUGAGCUGACUUGGGCUUUGGAUGGGUUUCCUUACACACUGAGUUUCCAAACUCACCCAUUCUUUAACCUUGCAGGUGGGCCUUGAUGUGGGUGUCUUGGAGCCGGAGGGGAUUUAGAGUGGCCAUUGUGAACGCUUUUGGGUUUGAAAGGAGACAGGUUUUCUUAAGCUAUUUUUAAUUACUAUUUAACUUUUGGAUUGUAGUAAGGUCAAUUUAACUUUAUUUUCUUCUUUGAUUUUCUAGGAUUAUAUUAUUUUAAAUAACUUUAAAUUGAUGGAUAAUAAUUCAAAUGGGCUAGACUUAGGGCGCGAUUUCA
rnacentral:lncRNA from 1 species